rnacentral:rRNA from 1 species
AUUGAACGCUGGCGGCAUGCCUUACACAUGCAAGUCGAACGGCAGCACGGGAGCAAUCCUGGUGGCGAGUGGCGAACGGGUGAGUAAUAUAUCGGAACGUGCCCAGUCGUGGGGGAUAACGUAGCGAAAGCUACGCUAAUACCGCAUACGAUCUAUGGAUGAAAGCGGGGGGAUCGCAAGACCUCGCGCGAUUGGAGCGGCCGAUAUCAGAUUAGGUAGUUGGUGAGGUAAAGGCUCACCAAGCCGACGAUCUGUAGCUGGUCUGAGAGGACGACCAGCCACACUGGGACUGAGACACGGCCCAGACUCCUACGGGAGGCAGCAGUGGGGGAAUUUUUGGGACAAUGGGCGCAAGCCUGAUCCAGCAAUGCCGCGUGCAGGAUGAAGGCCUCGGUUGUAAC